GAAGACUCAAAAUCAGAAAUAAAAGAGGAGAUAUCACACCUGAUAACACAGAAAUACUAAGGAUCAUAACAAACUGCUACAAACAAUUAUACUCCAACAUACUAGAUAACCUAGAAGAAGUGGACACAUUUCUAGAAACAUACAACCUACCAUGACUGACCCAAUCAAGGGUGAAU